rnacentral:rRNA from 1 species
UGUUAAUACAUGCAAGUCGAGCGCAGGAAACUGACGGAACUCUUCGGAGGGAAGGCAGCGGAAUGAGCGGCGGACGGGUGAGUAACACGUAAGGAACCUGCCUCAAGGAUUGGGAUAACUCCGAGAAAUCGGAGCUAAUACCGGAUAGUUCAUCGGACCGCAUGGUCCGUUGAUGAAAGGCGCUYCGGCGUCACCUUGAGAUGGCCUUGCGGUGCAUUAGCUAGUUGGUGGGGUAACGGCCCACCAAGGCGACGAUGCAUAGCCGACCUGAGAGGGUGAUCGGCCACACUGGGACUGAGACACGGUCCAACUUCCCUACGGG